rnacentral:tRNA from 1 species
UAGCACAGUGGUGUGUGCGUUUGGUUGACGACCAGCAGGCCGUGGGUUCAACUCCCUC